AAGUCGAUCCUAAAAGGAAAAAUAUAUUCUCAAUAGAUCUCUACCAAAGUAGUUUGGCCACCCCUGCUCUAUACAAAUGUACAACUCGGUUCUCCACUAGUUUACCUAUAAUUAAUAAAAAAAAAAAGUUUAACUAUACCUAAUAGGAGGUCUUUAACGCGAAAAAUACUUGUGCACAUACAUGUACAAUAUUGUAUAUACAUAAUAUCUAUGGAUGGACUAGAACAUAUACUAUCACAACCGUCAUCGUCGUCGUCGGUAAAUUCGGUAUGUGCACGUAAACGGAAUUUGGGAACUUUAAUAAUAAUUAAAAAUACACGAUUUUCAUAACCAAACGGUUAUACGAGAAAUACGAUAUGAUAAGAUCGCGGUAUGUAAACUAUUCGAUUACUUAUAUGAAUAAACAAUUUUUAAAUAAUACAUAUUACGUCGUGCACUUGCAAGAUUUGCUGAAAACGUCAACGUUUUUAUUCGCGCAUAACUGCACCCAGCAUACCUAUACCCGCUACGCCUGUUGUGUAGGUAUACAAUUUUUUUAUUGUAAAUGUUAUUUUCGAACGAAUAACAGGCAAUCUGCUGGUACCUACUGGGUACAAAUUGCAAUAUGCUAAACAUGAAAAUUUCGU